GUUGCCAUCAGGUAAAGCUGGGAACUCUGGGGAGGACUGCCGGUGGAUAAACCGGAGGAAGGCGGGGAUGACGUCAAGUCCUCAUGGCCCUUACCAUCCCGGGCUACACACGUGCUACAAUGGCAGGUACAGAGGGCUGCGAAGCCGCGAGGUGGAGCGAAUCCCAGAAAACCUGUCUCAGUCCGGAUUGAAGUCUGCAACUCGACUUCAUGAAGGCGGAAUCGCUAGUAACCGCGAAUCAGCAGGUCGCGGUGAAUACGUUCCCGGGCCUU
rnacentral:rRNA from 1 species